rnacentral:rRNA from 1 species
UACGUAGGUGGCAAGCGUUGUCCGGAUUUACUGGGCGUAAAGAGCGCGCAGGCGGUCGUUCAAGUCGCGUGUGAAAGCCCCCGGCUCAACUGGGGAGGGUCACGCGAUACUGAUCGACUCGAAGGCAGGAGAGGGUAGUGGAAUUCCCGGUGUAGUGGUGAAAUGCGUAGAUAUCGGGAGGAACACCAGUGGCGAAGGCGACUACCUGGCCUGUUCUUGACGCUGAGGCGCGAAAGCUAAGGGGAGCCAAACGGGG